rnacentral:tRNA from 1 species
GGAAGUGCACGCGGGCUGGUGUCCGCCUGGGACUUCAAAUCCUACGGUCCCGAUUUUAUCGGGACGGUCGGUUCGAUUCCGACACACUUCCGCCA